GGGUCGUAGGACACAUUAAUUGACCGAGAUGAGGGACUUGCACCCUAUCAUUAGCGGCGGACGGGCUGAGUAAUGCUUAGGAAUCUGCCAUUUAGUGGGGGACAACAUUCCGAAAGGAAUGCUAAUACCGCAUACGUCCUACGGGAGAAAGCAGGGGAUCUUCGGACCUUGCGCUAAAUGAUGAGCCUAAGUCGGAUUAGCUAGUUGGUGGGGUAAAGGCCUACCAAGGCGACGAUCUGUAGCGGGUCUGAGAGGAUGAUCCGCCACACUGGGACUGAGACACGGCCCAGACUCCUACGGGAGGCAGCAGUGGGGAAUAUUGGACAAUGGGCGGAAGCCUGAUCCAGCCAUGCCGCGUGUGUGAAGAAGGCCUUUUGGUUGUAAAGCACUUUAAGCGAGGAGGAGGCUACCUGGAUUAAUACUCUGGGAUAGUGGACGUUACUCGCAGAAUAAGCACCGGCUAACUCUGUGCCAGCAGCCGCGGUAAUACAGAGGGUGCGAGCGUUAAUCGGAUUUACUGGGCGUAAAGCGUGCGUAGGCGGCUGAUUAAGUCGGAUGUGAAAUCCCUGAGCUUAACUUAGGAAUUGCAUUCGAUACUGGUCAGCUAGAGUAUGGGAGAGGAUGGUAGAAUUCCAGGUGUAGCGGUGAAAUGCGUAGAGAUCUGGAGGAAUACCGAUGGCGAAGGCACCAUCUGGCCUAAUACUGACGCUGAGGUACGAAAGCAUGGGGAGCAAACAGGAUUAGAUACCCUGGUAGUCCAUGCCGUAAACGAUGUCUACUAGCCGUUGGGGCCUUUGAGGCUUUAGUGGCGCAGCUAACGCGAUAAGUAGACCGCCUGGGGAGUACGGUCGCAAGACUAAAACUCAAAUGAUUGCGGGGGGCCCGCACAAGCGGUGGAGCAUGUGGUUUAUUCGAUGCAACCGAAACCUUACCUGGCCCUUGACCAUACUAAAAAACUUUUCCAAAAAUGGGAUUGGGUUGCCCUUCGGGAAUUAAAUACCAGGUGCUGCUGGGCUUUCUCCCUCUUUCCUUGAAAUGUUGGGGUUUAUUCCCCCAACGAACCGCACCUUUUUCUU
rnacentral:rRNA from 1 species